UACAGAGGUCCCAAGCGUUGUUCGGAUUCACUGGGCGUAAAGGGUGCGUAGGUGGCCAGGUAAGUUUGGUGUGAAAGCUCGGAGCUCAACUCCGAAAUGGCAUUGAGUACUAUCUGGCUGGAGGGUCGGAGGGGAGACUGGAAUUCUCGGUGUAGCAGUGAAAUGCGUAGAUAUCGAGAGGAACACCAGUGGCGAAGGCGAGUCUCUGGACGACACCUGACACUGAGGCACGAAAGCUAGGGGAGCAAACAGG
rnacentral:rRNA from 1 species